rnacentral:lncRNA from 1 species
GCCCCCAAUCGUCCAUCAAAGCAUAAGAAACAAAAAAAAAUGACUCUUUCAUUCAUGAAUAGAUGAAGGUAUACUAGAGAUCAGAGGAGAGACACCCCUCUGAGAGGAAACAUACAGUCAGUCAGCAUAUGGGUAUUUCUUUAAUGUGAAGAGGACUCGAAAAAGAAAAAUUGAAGGUCGGACUCCCGUUUGAGAGUAAAG